rnacentral:lncRNA from 1 species
GUGUGCACCGGGAUGGCGGCACCGGGAGGUGCCUGCGUGUGCCGGGGCGGCAGCACCGGGAGGCACGGCACUUCUUCAGAUGUGAACCCCUAUCUGAAUACAAGCUCGGAUCAAGAGGACUACUUUCAGAAUGAAACCUCUCUCUUCUUAUCACUAUUUCUCAUGGGAUCUCUGGGAUCUCUCUUUCAGCAGCCUCAUGAAUGGGGAAGCAGCUUCUGUGCACAGCCACCAAGUCCCCCAAGACGCCUCUCCCGCAGCAUCUGCUGAGCUCCAGGAACAAAGAAUCAGCUGUGCCCAAGCCACAGGAGAGGGGAGCCAAAUGUCAGUGACCUGGAGAAAUCUGUGAUUAAACCAGCUCAGACAUUUUAUCUCCUGUUCCAUUUGAACCAAAAAUAAAACAAAUUUGCUUUCUGAGCUGGAAGGUUAC